rnacentral:rRNA from 1 species
UGAGGAAUAUUGGUCAAUGGGCGAGAGCCUGAACCAGCCAAGUAGCGUGCAGGAUGACGGCCCUAUGGGUUGUAAACUGCUUUUAUGUGGGGAUAAAGUGCGUGACGUGUCAUGCAUUGCAGGUACCACAUGAAUGAGGACCGGCUAAUUCCGUGCCAGCAGCCGCGGUAAUACGGAAGGUCCGGGCGUUAUCCGGAUUUAUUGGGUUUAAAGGGAGCGUAGGCUGUCUAUUAAGCGUGUUGUGAAAUUUACCGGCUCAACCGGUGGCUUGCAGCGCGAACUGGUCGACUUGAGUAUGCAGGAAGUAGGCGGAAUUCAUGGUGUAGCGGUGAAAUGCUUAGAUAUCAUGACGAACUCCGAUUGCGCAGGCAGCUUACUGUAGCAUAACUGACGCUGAUGCUCGAAAGUGCGGGUAUCAAACAGG